UGGGGCAGGUCUCCUGGAGCUGGGGAGUCUUCUCCCGCGCGGCCCGGUCACCGAGCUACCGAGUGGACGCCCGCCUCCUGGCUCUUUCCAAGGGGCGGUGCAGGCUCCUUCACAGCACGGGGGCCAGGUUCUAGGAGCCAGGGUCCCCAAGACACAGGGAGUGGACACUGCUCAUUAAGACUGCGUCUUAAGGUCUGGACGCAGAAACGGAAUAGAAGUCGGCCACAGUCUCCUGCCAGAGCUCCUGCUGGACCCGUGAACAUGGCGUCUGUCUGCUGAACGAACGGAUCGGCUGCCGCGCCAGCUGCCCACGCAGAUGCCGCAGCGGCAGUCAGUCACUGACGCCUGGAAGGUUCCAGGCACCUCAGCCACAUCAACUGGCGAGGGGAUGGAGGCCCUGAGAAAAUGAAGCUUAAUGUCUUACAGCAUUUUAGACAGGGGAGGGAUUUAUGAGAUAAUCAACUUCUAAGCCUAAUUUCACAAAAAGUUAACCCGUAAAGCAAGCAGACAAAAGUGCUGAGGUGUAUAGAUAACAGAAUACAGCAAGGAACCUAUGUGGGUCGGUUACACAGAAACAGCGAUGAGUCAGAACCUGCUCUAUGUGGCAAGUUAUACUAUUUACUUGCUCAGCCUCUUUUAGCGAGUCGGAGCUAACUAAACCCUGGGACCUGAAUGAUGGGCACUGUUCAUUUUCCCGCUUGUAAAGGGGGACGCUAUUCACUUCUGCAGACGGGGCCCCACGUGCGGCCAUCGCGGCGAUGGGGUGAUCUGAGGCUGCACUGCACGCCCCGGGAAAACAUCCUGUGGCAGGCUGAUGACUCACACGCUGCGCAGUGACACGCACCGGCCAUUCAGAGGGACGGGGAAGCAUGCACAAGGCCUUCGUUAGCAGGCAUCUUUAAACACGGCUGAGGCCCAGCUGGGAACAGCAGAGGCAGCCGAGUUUGACUCGUUCGAGGUGAUGAUUAAAGCCGAAGAAAAUGAAGUAACUGGACAUCAGUUAGGGUCGAGUAAAAGCCUAAUUCUAAAAGGUGAAUUUUUACUAAAUUAAAAAAAAAAAGAAUUAGUUUGCUAAUUCGCAGAGAGAUACCUAAUUAUAGCUUCAGAAACACAUACUUUGAACCUGAAAAUAUUCCAUCUCUCCUUAGGUUUUCUGAGGAGCUUCCGAAACACUAGAUAAUCUUAUAGGAGAAAUUAUGACCCUGACUACAAAAAAUAAAAAUAAAAAAAUCUGUGAAAACUGACAAUUAACUGAACACACGGUAGCCUUUUACCAAAAAAAUAAAAUCAGUUUCCCCAAGAGAAUGAA